CCUACGGGAGGCUGCAGUGGGGAAUAUUGGACAAUGGGGGGAACCCUGAUCCAGCAACGCCGCGUGAGUGAAGAAGUAUUUCGGUAUGUAAAGCUCUAUCAGCAGGGAAGAAAAUGACGGUACCUAACUAUGAAGCUACGGCUAACUACGUGCCAGCAGCCGCGGUAAUACGUAGGGGGCAGGCGUUAUCCGGAUUUACUGGGUGUAAAGGGAGCGUAGACGGUGCAGCAAGUCUGAUGUGAAAGUGCGGGGCCCAACCCCGGGAGUGCAUUGGAAACUGGUGAACUGGAGUACAGGAGAGGUAAGCGGAAUGCCUAGUGUAGCGGUGAAAUGCGUAGAUAUGAGGAGGAACACCAGUGGCGAAGGCGGCUUACUGGACUGUAACUGACGUUGAGGCUCGAAAGCGUGGGGAGCAAACAGGAUUAGAUACCCGGGUAGUC
rnacentral:rRNA from 1 species